AGUUCGAUCCUGGCUCAGAUUGAACGGCGCUGGCGGGAUGCUUUACACAUGCAAGUCGAACGGCAGCACGGACUUCGGUCUGGUGGCGAGUGGCGAACGGAUGAUAAUGUAUCGGAACGUGCCUAGUAGUGGGGAUAAUUCACGCGAAAGCGUAGCCAAUACCGCAUGCUGCCUCGGGGAAAGCGGGGGGACCUCGGGCCCCGCACUAUUAGAGCGGCCGAUAUCGGAUUAGCUAGUUGGUGGGGUAACGGCUCACCGGCGACGAUCCGUAGCUGGUUUGAGAGGACGACCAGCCACACUGGGACUGGAGACACGGCCCGGACUCCUACGGGAGGCAGCAGUGGGGAAUUUUGGACAAUGGGGGAAACCCUGAUCCAGCCAUCCUUACGUGUGCGAUGAAGGCCUUCGGGUUGUAAAGCACUUUUGGCAGGAAGAAACGGCACGGGAUAAUACCCGUGCAACUGACGGUACCCGCAGAAUAAGCACCGGCUAACUACGUGCCAGCAGCCGCGGUAAUACGUAGGGUGCAAGCGUUAAUCGGAAUUACUGGGCGUAAAGCGUGCGCAGGCGGUUCGGAAAGAAAGAUGUGAAAUCCCAGAGCUUAACUUCGAACUGCAUUUUUAACUACCGAGCUAGAGUGUGUCAGAGGGAGGUGGAAUUCCGCGUGUAGCAGUGAAAUGCGUAGAUAUGCGGAGGAACACCGAUGGCGAAGGCAGCCUCCUGGGAUAACACUGACGCUCAUGCACGAAAGCGUGGGGAGCAAACAGGAUUAGAUAAUUCUGGUAGUCCACGCCCUAAACGAUGUCAACUAGCUGUUGGGGCCUUCGGGCCUUGGUAGCGCAGCUAACGCGUGAAGUUGACCGCCUGGGGAGUACGGUCGCAAGAUUAAAACUCAAAGGAAUUGACGGGACCCGCACAAGCGGUGGAUGAUGUGGAUUAAUUCGAUGCAGCCAAAAACCAUCACCUUUGACAGUACCAAACCCGAAGAGAUUUUGGAGUGGCUCGUGGUGAGAAACCGGAACAACAGGAAACAGGCGCCAUUGUCAUCAAAGUCGUGAGAUGUUGGUUGUCUGCAAUGAGCGGCAACCCUGUCGUUGUUGCUGCUGAAGGCACUCCACAGAACUGCCCGAAGCAUAAAACAGCAGUGUGUAUGACGUCGUUCCACCCUAUGGUAGGCUUCAUUGCGUUAAUGACCGGCUAGAAGGUCGCCAACCCGCGAGGGGGAGCCAAUCCCAGAAACCCGAUCGUAGUCCGGAUCGCAGUCUGCAACUCGACUGCGUGAAGUCGGAAUCGCUAGUAAUCGCGGAUCAGCAUGUCGCGGUGAAUACGUUCCUGGGUCUUGUACACACCGCCCGUCACACCAUGGGAGUGGGUUUUACCAGAAGUAGUUAGCCUAACCGUAAGGAGGGCGAUUACCACGGUAGGAUUCAUGACUGGGUGAAGUCGUAACAAGGUAA
rnacentral:rRNA from 1 species